ACGUAGGGUGGGAGUUGGCAGUGUGUUUUUCUGUCAUUUACCGUCGUGUUAAUAAAGUUUGCGUGCACUGUUCCUCCACACUACGGGCGUCAGUGGCGGGCUGUAUUAUUCACGCAUUGCUAUUUAUGCAUUUGUUCUUUAAAUAUUUUAGUGAUAUAGAAAAUGUAUUAGUGGAUACUUUAGUAGUGUUGUGUAGCCUUUAACCGCCCUGGUGCCUUAUUGAGCAUCUAGACACACUCUUAUCAUGAAUGUGCCCAUCUCAAUCAGUAAGGCAAUAUUACUGGUCAGGUUUUGCUUCCAUCGUGCAAAUUACUAAUUGCACUGGUGACAAUGAGACCUGCCACAUUGUCUUGUUGAUCUGUCAUUUGUUGACCAGAUGAGUUGUACAGAAUCUCUACUUGAGGCUUAACCUCUAAACUGAACAAGUGAUGAAUAUCAGGCAUUGAUCUGGAAAUGGCAUUAGAUAAUAUGCUGCUGAUAUUUUGCAGGAAGAAUACUGUUCCAUGAAAACAAUAAUGCAAACUGAACACUGAAUUGAUGGGUCGAUCCAUAUUGCUUGGCUUACAGUUGAUGCACAUGGGGGUUAUGGAGCGCUAAAGAUGCAGUUAAAAGCUUGAAGCAAGCUUUACAAGUCUGGGAGUAGGCACAUCCGUGGUAUGAAGAUGCAAACUGAGAAAGCAGAAAUUCAAAUCUGAAUGAUGGCUGUCCUUUCAGGUGCUGCAUGCAGACAUGUGGGAGCUCUGGAGAAAGGUAAAUGUAUGAGUCAUAUAGCUAGGUUAGAUCCCAGGGAGGUGCCCUGCUGCAGCCAGGGUGCUCCCCAGUGUCUGAAGAAGAUGCCCCAAGCCAGAAGCUACACAUGCAGCUUCAUCAGCCCCUGCUGCACCCACAACAACCCCCACCUCCCAGUCCAUAAAUACUUUGUUUAUAUAGUAGGAGGGAGAGGAUAAACAGAUAUGCCAGCAUAUAGCUUUAGUGGUGGCUGGGCUAGUAGUGUUCUUUAUAGGCAAGGUAAGAACACAUUUCAGGAGCCAAACUACAUGCCCUUUUCUAUCUCAGUAUUCCUCACAUAGUCCACUGGGAAAUAGACUUUUUAUUGAAAAAAUACUAGAUCCUAGUGGAUAGUAUGGUUUACGGGAAAAGCUGUGUAUAGGCAACUAGGAAAUAGACUGCUUGUUUAAAAGACACUAGAUCCUAGUGGAUAAUAGUAUCCUUUAAACCAAAGCUGUAUAUAGGCAACUAGGAAAUAGAUUUUUUUUAUUUAAAAGACACUAGAUCCUAGUGGAUAAUAGUAUCCUAGAUCCUAUGUAGCCCAUUUAUAGCAUGUCAUUAUGCAUAACCCACUAGAAAAUAAAUAUAAUUCUCUUUAUAAAAUAUACUAGAUCAUAGUGGCUAACAGUAUGAAAUAAGAACCAAAUUAUAUUAACUGAAAGAGGAAAUAUUGACAAUUUGAUAUUUACAAUUUCUUAAUACUGUUAAAUUUAUGAGUGGAAAUAAAAUGUUAAUUUAUUAAUUCUCUAUAUUACUUUAUUAUAUGAUUUUGAAUACUCUAACUAGCUAUAAAUAGGCUAGUUGAAAUACUUUAUUUUACUAGGUGACAGCAUUUUUAACCAGGAUAAAAUUACUGCCUUUUACAAUUAUGAUUUAAAUUUCUCAUUUAAAAUUAGCUAAAUUAUACCAUCCAGUCUUUAGAAGCACUGAAAAUAAGUGGGAUCUAUCCUACCUGCACUGUAUUUUAUAAUUCCUAUGAGUAUUCAUUUUCAAACUAGAAUAUAGUCCAACUAUAUAAAAAUAGUCUAUUUCCUUAUAUGUAAAAGUACACUGUUUCGUUACCAACUAGGAACUAGAUAUAUCUGACCAUAUUAUCUAGUUUCUAUUGCUGUUCAUUUUCCCACUAGAUUUUAGCCCAACUGUACUGAAAUAUCUAUUUCCUACUCUCCAAAUCUGCUCUGUUCCAUUAUCAACUUGGAACUAGACGCAACCUUGCUGCGAUGCCACAUGCUCUGUCUUCUCAAGCCUCACAUGCGCUCUUACACUCUUUUUAAUCCCAUCAUGCAACUAGUUUCCUGACUCUAAAUAAGUGUAAGGCAUGUUUUCUUUAUUGCUCUGACUGGCAUAUAACAUACAUUUUCGUGCACAUUUAUAUAUCAAAAAUUAUUGUAUCUAGAAAUACUAUUUGUGCAUUUUGCGUCGCAGAAAUAUAACAAAAUACUAUGCGCCUGCGCACUGAGCUUUCCGCUUCGAUCCUAUACCAAGAUGGCGUUUGUCUGUCGCACCUGACCAACCAGUUAUCGCAAUUUACCCUGUCGUCAUCACAAAUCGGCCUUAUUGCUUCUACAUCGCGAGAUUCUCCUGGCUGUGGCUGCCCAUUGCAGAAUGUGAGCGCGAGUUAUUUGCCCCGCCCCGUGCUUAGCCCUGAGGGUAUAAAGCUUUGUGCGCCAUGUUCUUUCUCAUUUUGCUGUGUAGCGAGGCAUUGAUCUGGAAAUGGCAUUAGAUAAUAUGCUGCUGAUAUUUUGCAGGAAGAAUACUGUUCCAUGAAAACAAUAAUGCAAACUGAACACUGAAUUGAUGGGUCGAUCCAUAUUGCUUGGCUUACAGUUGAUGCACAUGGGGGUUAUGGAGCGCUAAAGAUGCAGUUAAAAGCUUGAAGCAAGCUUUACAAGUCUGGGAGUAGGCACAUCCGUGGUAUGAAGAUGCAAACUGAGAAAGCAGAAAUUCAAAUCUGAAUGAUGGAUAUCCUUUCAGGUGCUGCAUGCAGACAUGUGGGAGCUCUGGAGAAAGAAGCUGCAAAUGUUAAACUUGCUAUGGAGAAAACACAAAGCAUACUUAAGGUUUACAGAAAGGUUUGACUGGACUCCAAUUUUCUCCACAUUUCUUCUGAACUUUCUGACAUUGCCUGUGCUCUAAAAACUAUGGAUUUUCGAAAUCAUUGUAUUAAAGUUUGGAAGCUUCAUGUCUUCUCUCAAGUGAUGUCUUUGUUCUGACUCAUAAUUAUUGCAAAUCCACUUAGCUGCUAAGCUAGAGACCUGCUCAGUACUAACUGCAUAGUUUUACUAGAAUUUAUCUGAACUAAGUAGAUUUAAGUGUUAACAAGAAGUCUGUAUGACAGUUAACUUGUGUCUAGCUUUCUUUGAUAUUAUGUAGCUUUAAAUAACCAUGCAUUGGUUGGUCUACAGCAACACUUAACAUAAUGUUGUUGUUUAAAUGUUCAAUGCAACAGCAAAAUGCAGCUGAUAUAACUGAAAGUGGAUAGCUGUGAUGCUUUCAGAAUAAUGCUGCUACAAUCUUGCAGGGUUAUUGCAGUUAAACAUAUAAGGUGUAGUGAUCUUUAACCUUUCAAAGCGACAGGAGUAGCAGGGAAGACCUUUGAUGUGGACACUUUCCUAGACUGAAGCAAGGCCAAUUUCUGAUAAAUGCAGUAACAUGGCAGAAAUUAAGUUGGUGAUCCCCAACCAGUGGCUCAUUAGCUAAACACAACCCAUAUUUGGCACCCCAGGAACCUUUUGCAUGUUUGUGUUGCUCUCAAACUCUUCACAUUUGAAUGUGGCUCACAGGUGAAAAGGGUUGGGUAUUCACAAGUUAAACAGCAAUUACAUUUAUGCUGCAUGCUUAAUGGCAAAUACACAAAAGUGAUAUGCUUUUGCAAUCAAUUGCCCAGUAACAUACAUAUCUGAUUCAAAAAGGGCUUGUCAGCACCCCAGUCAACUUCCCAAGACCUAGAAUAUUUGUCUUAUUGUAACCAUACAUUUAGAGUGGCUCUGCUGUCUUGUGAAUCUUUCACUAAAGGCCUAUAUUUCCAGUAAAGUCCACAAGUCAUAGUGAAGUCAAAGAUGCAGCUUUUAUAAUGCCAUGACCCUAUUCAAUAAGUCAAAGUAAAGCAGGCAGGGAUGACAAUACAUUCCAAAUUUCUUUUUGUGAAGCUGUGUUGAACAGUGUGGCCAAGAAUCCUCUGAGUAGCCAGUCAUUUGAGGCAUUGCAUGUAUACCUUUUCUCAAGAUUGCUCAGAUUGUUACUAAGGCUCUCACUUUACUAAAGUAGAUGUUAAUGUCUUAUAAACUGCAGCCCUUUAAAGGGGACAUGUUACACAGAGAUGAUGGAAAAAAAGUGUGUGAUAAAAGCCCUUUUCAAAGUAAACAUGAAACCCCAAAAAAACAUAGGAAACGAUUUGUACUUAUAAACAAAAAUUUUUAGCUGUCAAUUAUAUCUUGCCUUCCUCACCCUUAUGACUCAGGCAUAGAAGUGGGGCUGGUAGUUACCUCCACUUUCCAGUCAGCACUUCCUAGAUGUCCCAGCACUUAUUACAUUCCCCCACUCUCAUGGGUUAUAAUUGUGCACCCCAUGCAUGGGGCAUUAGGUCCCCUGUUCUAUCACAAAUUAUAGUUGUGGAUGAUACAAAGCUUGCCUUUAUAACAGUACCUACAAAAUGGCACGUGCCUGCUUGCUGCAGAUUUCAAGACUAAAGGAAACUUAAUUUAUAUAUUGUAAGUAAAGUUUAUUUUGCUUGACAAACACAAUAGUACAAAAUUGACACUUCAUGUCAGUUAGAAAUAUGGGUAAAUGAAUGUACGCAUAUUCCAAACUUCUGGCCAGGACAUCCUUUGCAGAUGCAAAGAAUUUUGCUAUCCCUAGUGGAUCUGGAUGUUACUGUUGUGAUCUUCUCUCGUGGAUCUCCGUGCCUGGAUCUUGGGGGCUUAGUUUUUCUGUAAAAAAGAAAUCAUUCCACCUACUUUACUGUAAGGUUUGCAGAAUUAUUUUGUCCUUUUUUCAUCAAAUGACAUCUCCAUUCUCAUCAAAGUGCAUAUUACGUGGAUUAGCCCUUAGUGUAAUGUCACCAAACCAAAGAGUUAUAGGAACUCUGAGGCAAGCUUUACCUUUACUUCAUCAAAUGAUCUUUAGGGACUAUGGAAUCAAUGGUUUCCUGAAACUGAAACACAACCUAAUUUUCUCAGAAAUGUAGGUCCUUUGGAUUUGACAUUUUGUGAAUUACAUGUUUUGUGAUUACUUUAAUGUAGUUAUAGAAAUGGCUUUGUGUUACUUGAUGUACAGAAUAAAGGGGAAAUAGUUAUAA